AAUCAUUGAGCAAUAAAUCAUUGCAAUACUUCUGUAGUGGAUUUCUUAAUCAAAUCAUAGUAUCCUACUCAAAAUAACAGUUAAUGCUUAACAACUGCUAAAGUCACACUAUCUUCUGUGUUCAUGUUUUUUCAUAUCUCAACAGUUUUGUAUCCUUUUGCUCUCCCUUGUGCACAGGUGGUGACAGCGUGUGUAAUUUUGCACAACAUUUGUUUUGGAGUCAGGGAUGUGCUGGAAGAGGUUGUGGAGGAGGAGGACAACCAGCCACCUGGGGAGCUUGAUGGUGGGGAGAGCCAGAGUGGAGCUGCUUGGCGGGCUGCGCUGACCAACGAGGUGUCUGCACUCCACGAGGCACCUCUUGACCAUGACUAUUUUUGCCAGCCUUGAAGCAACAACAGCAGCACCGGCGGUGCUGUAGGCAGUGUGGCUGAUGGCCACUUGUGUUCUUCUCAUCUUGUUGUGUAUAUAUUUGUAGAUAUGAGAAUGUCGUUAAACUUUACUUAUAUUUACUACAGUUAUAACAAAUGUUUGGUAAUGUAAAUAUACUUACAUUUGAAAGCAUAUUGCCCCGUUAACGCUCCGACUCCGCUAACGUCCGACAUUUUAGAAUUUUUUGAACAAGAUAGCAGAGCUGCGCGCAUAGGAUUGUGGGUGAUUUGAGAGCGCGAAAAGUGCAAAGGCUACACAUAUGCAUCCUUUCCUGUAUAUGGGAUAUUUUUCAAACAAAGGACUCAGUCCUUGGUUGAAAUUCCGAGGAUCCUCGACAUUGGAACAGUCCUUCGAUGGAUGUCGAUGACGUAGCAUCCUCGAAAUUCUGGCUUCCGAGGAUCCUUCCUUGACAUUGAGAAACGCCUCAAGCUUCAGCUGGCACUGCGUGUUCAGCUCCUCCAGCUUCCACACUGGGCUUCUCAACCUCCGAGAUGGGCAGAAGCAUCAUCAUCCUCAUCCCCAAACACUAAAUCCUGUGGUCUAAUCCUAUAAACUCUAAAAAUGUUAAAACCACCUUAAACAUCUGACUAUCACUCAAACCCUUUCCCAGAAGAUCCACGACACUCACUGGUCUGUUCCUUAUAUUGCAUAAUAAGACUGUUACGCUGAUCUUUAUAUUUACUACAUUUGAAAAGCACAUGGUCUACUGUUUCAAAAACAUCACAUUCAUCACACAUAACAUUUUCAUGCGUCCCCAUUAAUGCAAGUGUGGAAUUUAGUCCUGUGUGUCCCAUCCUUAAUCUAGAAAUCAUUACUUACUUUCUGUCUUCCAUAAAACUGUUAUUUUUUCCCUAUUGAUUUUACAAUAUUAUAAUACCACCUACCUGUGCUGCUAUUUUCCCAUCUUUGUUGCCAUAUACUUAUUAUUUCAUUUUCAGCUCAUUUUGAAAGCUGAGACUUUGGAAUAUCUCCCGGUGCAUUCGCAAAAUGCUAGAAUAUACUCUCAAAAUAUUAUAACUUUAUUCAUAUUCUCAAAACACUUCGACUUUAUUCUCAUAGUAUUUAGACUUUAUUCUUGUAAUAUUUUGACUUUAUUCUUAAAAUACUAUGACUUUAAUCUCGUAAUUUUAGAUUUUUUUUUUUUAUGUGUCACUAAAAUGCCAUCGUAAGGAUACACACAUCAAGACUCACAAACAACUUAAAAGAACAUAAUCACUAUUCCAUUAAACUACGAAUAUGAAAAUUAAAUGUUAAUGCUGAAAUCUCUAUACUUACCUUAUUUACUGAUGUGAUAAGUGUCAGACGCAAAGCUGGAAACUGCAGUUAUUUUUCCACUAAGCUAAUGCAGAAUAUAGAACCUUCUGAUUGACAUUUCUGAGCAUUUUGAGACAUCUAACUGCUGCAGAAAUUUUUACAAGUCUCUUUAAACUUUGGGUGAAAGGUUGUGAAAGAAACCUCAAUAUUGCCAAACCUGUAGCACUGAAAAUCACCAACAUGUUUAAAACCUCUUAUGUUAUUACACUUAUUUUUUAUUAAAAAAAAAUUGUAAAUAGAUACUUUACUAUACACUUUUGAUCAGUUUAAUAUAUCCUUGAAUUAAAGUCUUAAAAUCAUAAUGACCCCCAAACAUUUGAAUACAGAGCAGUAAACAUGCAGGAGGAAAGCACAUGACAAGACCACAUGAGGGAAUUAUAUGAAAUAGUGGACUUAUUUUAAAAUAAAAUACAUGAAACAUGAACGAAACA
ensembl:lncRNA